AUACGGAGGGUGCAAGCGUUGUUCGGAAUUAUUGGGCGUAAAGGGCGCGUAGGUGGUUCUGUGUGUCAGAUGUGAAAUCCCGAGGCUCAACCUCGGAACUGCAUCUGAAACUGCAGUGACUAGAGUACAGAAGAGGGAAACGGAAUUCCAGGUGUAGAGGUGAAAUUCGUAGAUAUCUGGAGGAACACCGGUGGCGAAGGCGGUUUCCUGGUCUGAUACUGACACUGAGGCGCGAAAGCGUGGGGAGCAAACAGGAUUAGAUACCCCGGUAGUCCUGGCCGUAAACGAUGAAUGCUAGGUGUGGGUGUAGAGAUACAUUCGUGCCGGAGUUAACGCGAUAAGCAUUCCGCCUGGGGAGUACGGUCGCAAGAUUGAA
rnacentral:rRNA from 1 species